UACGUAGGGGGCGAGCGUUGUCCGGAUUUAUUGGGCGUAAAGAGCUCGUAGGCGGUUUGGUAAGUCGGGUGUGAAAUCUCCACGCUCAACGUGGAGGGGCCACUCGAUACUGCCAUGACUCGAGUCCGGUAGAGGAGUGUGGAAUUCCCGGUGUAGCGGUGAAAUGCGCAGAGUAUCGGGAGGAACACCCGUACGCGAAGGCGGCACUCUGGGCCGGAACUGACGCUGAGGUAGCGAAAGCGUGGGGAGCCAAACAGGAUUAAGAUGACCCGUGAGUCCAGCACAAGCUCCUCGCUAACCCGUCA
rnacentral:rRNA from 1 species